UACGGAGGGUGCGAGCGUUGUCCGGAAUCAUUGGGCGUAAAGGGCGCGUAGGUGGCCCGGUGAGUCUUUGGUGAAAGCGCGGGGCUCAACCCUGCGUCGGCCAGGGAUACUGCCGCGGCUCGAGCACUGUAGAGGCAGGCGGAAUUCCGGGUGUAGCGGUGAAAUGCGCAGAUAUCAGGAGGAACACCGGUGGCGAAGGCGGUUCUCUGGGCAUGAUCUGACGCUGAGGAGCGAAAGUGUGGGGAGCGAACAGG
rnacentral:rRNA from 1 species